rnacentral:lncRNA from 1 species
AUUUGAGCCAGCCAUGAGCUAUUCAUACCACCAGGGGACCACUUCUCAUCAAAUGAUUCUCUCAUCUCCAGAGGACCUGUAUGCCUUGUCAGCUUUGGACUGCAUGGACCCAACCUUCCAGUCCACUGAACCUCCUUCCUGUACCCUCAUGGCCCCAUUUUGGGACAGCUCUAUGACCUUGUUCAGCCAGAAGUAGUUACAGAAGGACUGACUGAGGACCCAGCAGGUUCAGCAAGGCAGAGCCUUUUCCUGUGCCACCCUAACGACCAGAUAAUGUUUGUCGAAUGAAUGAACAAAAGUCUGCAUCUAGCAUGGUACACCAAGUAAACGCAUACAGAGCGCGGUGUUCUGAACUGUUUGCAGUGUCUUUGAUGGAUCUGCCCUUCUUUAAGAUGUUUACUUGUGUUUGUGGAACAAGUUCAUCCACCAAGAUGAGAACCAUGGCUUCUGGGACAGGUCUGCCAAGUGAGGGUGGUCAGGUUGUCUCUAUUUAUUUCAAAUUCUCGAAAAGGUCCCUCGAUUAUUGUUUCAGCAUAUGUGUUUGUACAUUUAUGCUUACUGUUAACAGCUCUACUUUUUUUAACCGAUUUACCAAGC